UGGGCGUUAAGUUGCAGGGUAUAGACCCGAAACCCGGUGAUCUAGCCAUGGGCAGGUUGAAGGUUGGGUAACACUAACUGGAGGACCGAACCGACUAAUGUUGAAAAAUUAGCGGAUGACCUGUGGCUGGGGGUGAAAGGCCAAUCAAACCGGGAGAUAGCUGGUUCUCCCCGAAAGCUAUUUAGGUAGCGCCUCGUGAAUUCAUCUCCGGGGGUAGAGCACUGUUUCGGCUAGGGGGCCAUCCCGGCUUACCAACCCGAUGCAAACUGCGAAUACCGGAGAAUGUUAUCACGGGAGACACACGGCGGGUGCUAACGUCCGUCGUGAAGAGGGAAACAACCCAGACCGCCAGCUAAGGUCCCAAAGUCAUGGUUAAGUGGGAAACGAUGUGGGAAGGCCCAGACAGCCAGGAUGUUGGCUUAGAAGCAGCCAUCAUUUAAAGAAAGCGUAAUAGCUCACUGGUCGAGUCGGCCUGCGCGGAAGAUGUAACGGGGCUAAACCAUGCACCGAAGCUGCGGCAGCGACACUGUG
rnacentral:rRNA from 1 species